UACAGAGGUGGCAAGCGUUGUUCGGAAUUACUGGGCGUAAAGGGCGCGUAGGCGGUCUUGUAAGUCUUGUGUGAAAUCCCUCGGCUCAACUGAGGAACUGCACGGGAUACUGCGAGACUUGAGUUCGGGAGAGGGAAGCGGAAUUCCGGGUGUAGCGGUGAAAUGCGCAGAUAUCAGGAAGAACACCCGUGGCGAAGGCGGCUCUCUGGGACGGUACUGACGCUGAGGUGCGAAAGCGUGGGGAGCAAACAGG
rnacentral:rRNA from 1 species